GUAGCUGUUCAUCCGUGAUGAUGAUAGUUGGUAAAGUGGCGAUGUCGAUGGCUAGUCUACAGUAAACAGUAUGCACGAUCGGGAAUCCUUUUACGGCUAACGUUGAUGGUGUAGAUAGUCAACAGACGCAGCAACUCACUCACGCGUGAAUACGUUCAAAGGGAAAAAAAAUGACAAAAAAAAUAUACUCAUGGUAUAAUGAUACACGGACCAUGCCUGGAUCGAGUAUUAAUUGAGGAAUUGGAGAUCGCAUUUACGAAGAGUAGGUUACAUAUAUACGUAUCCUACAGUAGUAGAGCCCGAGGUUGUUGGUGAGCGUUGGCUAGUAGUGAAGCUGAUACCACGGCCGGUCUGAAUAAGCUGAGUGAACAACCUCAAUUGGAAGACCUCAGUAGGGGAUUCCAUGGUGGCGCCGGGUCUCUGGGGUCUCCGGUCCAUCGGGGCGUAAUAAAAAGACAAGGAUAGAAAUAACAACCACCACCACUACUACUACUACUACUACUACUACUACUACUACUACUGCUACUAUAUCCACAAUCUUGUAGGAUAGUUACUACUACAAGCUAAAGGAAGACAUGCUGGAUGUAGACGGUAACCAAGUGAAGGAACAUCAGUUGAGAGUAAAGGCGUUUCUCCAGAUCCUACACUAGCUUACGCAAGCUGAUAUGGUGUUCCUGGUGUGGUUAUGUGUGGGUUUUUCUUAUCGUUUUAUCUUCUCACCAAGAGUCUUUGUCUCACUCUCGAUGAUAUUUCCUACGAUGAGUAGGCACUUGGCCCUCCUAUCAUCCUAUCAUCCUCUUUGUCUCUAUCUGUCCUCUUUACUCUGCCGCCGUCUACUCGGUGUGACGAGCCAAUAUAUCAAGAUAGUCACAGCAAACAGCAAGAUCAAAACUCGGUAUACAGGCUCUCAACUCCGUGCAGCUUUCAGCUCUACUCGUUCAGGGACGGGUUUGAAGUUGCCAAGUGGGGACAAAUACACCACGUUAAUAUUACUAAUACUGCUUUAAUAAUAUCUCAACCUGUAUUGUAUGUACUCUCUUAAUGCCCACUUGCCUUGAAUUGUGUUGAGCUGCAAUACUUAUCUGUAUAGUAGCGGGGCUUACGGUACAGGCUGUACUACACAAACCAGCAUUUACACCAACGACACACUGCCAAAGUCCAACGAGUCUUGAUCUAUAACACAGAUAACGCACUGUGAGAUGAAGAUGAUGAUUAUUGUAAUGAUAACAUGUGUGAUACUCGAAAAUUAUUGUUGAAGUUUCGUUAACUGUUGAGAGAAACUCCGAAUAAAAGUCGGUACGCAGCUGCUUCUGUCUAGUGUCUAGUCUCCUCGGGCCUUUUACUUAGUAAUAAACCCUAAAGAAGAGAUCCAGAGAUCUUGGACUAAGUCCGCUAUUGUAUUGUUUAAAAUUAUUUUCUCAGUCAUUUUAAAUACAGCUAUUAUUUUUACUCGCACAUAAACGAGUAAACGAUUCCAGAGAAUUCAAUAGUUUAACUCUGAAAAAGUAAAAAACAAAAGUUGGCAUUUAAAUACACACAUACUUAUACCCCACCGGAAAAUACAAUCCAAAAGGAAUUACUUACAGCUCAACAAAAACUACGUUACAAUCGGGAAUGCCGGAAGUUUAAAAUAUACAGCAGGUGUACACAUAAUCAUAGUGAUGCUUGAUCGAUCCUACCAGCAGUAUAUAUUCUGGAUGUUGGGUUCUGGUUCUUCCUCUUACUGACACUCCUUCACACCAGAUACAUGUGUGAAUUUACUUACACUGAAAUAAAUCUAUGUACAUUUAAGUGUCUUAUUCAGCAAGUGUUGGGUUUAGUUAUCUAAAGUAAAACCAACAGCCGGAAAUUGCGUAUCUUGUCGUCUACUGGCAGAGCGAGGCAUCCACUCUAUUUCUUCCCAUGUCGCCAUUAUCGGAGUAGAGGGCUAAAUAAAAUAAAAAAAAAAAAAAGUGUGUCGAUGUCGAGCUGUACUUUUUUGCUGUCCAGCGUUCUUGCAGCAGUUACUUACUAUAUGUAUAAUACCUCUACUCUGUACGUACGAAUGAACGUACAACGUAUGUAUAAAAUAACCUGAACCUUAAUGGUUCACAGCGGGGUAUAAUACGCAAGAUGGCGUCGUCGGGCGACAGCAGUGUUCUAAAAAUAAACCAUCAGCCUGAAGACUACAACUGCUCAAGUAAAGCUAAAGUAAGAAUAUAGUGCUUAUAAACUAUUCGGAGAUGGUGGGUGUCUUCUCAUCUAUUCGUUAGGUGCGACCCUGUGUACUGCGUCAACGUCUGUCUAGAGAAGGUAUUCAUGUUAUGUUGGACGCCGCCAAGUCGCCAGUGAGACGCCUAUAAUCACCGUGGUUAGCUGCGUACCUCAAGAAUAUGCGGCCAGAGAAUACGCUGACAAGAGUAAGAGCCAAGUGGAGCUAACCUAUAACGAAGACUAUACUCACAACAGAAUAAUAUUUCGUUGAGUAACUAUGUUAGUUCAAUGACCGUCUUGGUUUUGUUCUUGAUGCGUUUGUAACGAAAUGAGCAUACUCAGAGAAACAAGAUAAAGAAACGGCUAAUGUUUGUGUUGUAGUAGUAGUAUAAGUAGUAUAAGUAGUAUAAGUAGUAAAAGUAACAGUGAGAAGAAUAUAAGACAAAGAAGAAUAAGAAGAAGCCAAUCACCUUUCACGACUACGCGUAAUCAAGAGUAGAGUGGAGGAUGGUUGGACAUCUGCCGACCAUCUGCCUUGGGUAUGGCUACGGGAGCAAAUGUGUCCAGACCAGGGCAAGCCAAACCACAUCCCUUUUUCUUAUUUUUCUUCUUCAUCUUCUUUUGGUCUUUCUUCUUAUUAUUAUUCUUAUUCUUCUCAUACUAAAAGUAGUCUGCUGGUAAAUAAGCCGGAGCAAGACAGAAUGAUUAAGCUUCCGGCGAGAAAGCAAGGUGCGUCCCAAAAAUUGGUGGCUGUAUAUACUGUAUGUUGUAUGUUGUAUGCUAUAUGCUACUUGGAAUCACCGUAGUCAUUUCUUUCUCUCUGUUCUCUAUACUACUACUCUGUUGUACUGGAUGCUCCAUGCUCUCUACCCAGAAACUGGUCAUCUUGAUAGUAUACUCAAUGGCGGAGGUUUGCUGGAAUUUUGGCAGCGCUGGCGUGUGGUAAUCGGGUAAUUGGCAAUCAAGGGCAUAACGCGGCAGCAGGCAACCCAUCACCAAUGAGUACGCAAGCUGCUAACCAUCAUAUCCCUUUAUCCCGAGCCCCAGAUUUAUUGCCACGAUCUUACACUCCAGAUAACGGAGUUAUUGCUUAUAUGUGUACAUAAAUGAUCGCCUUGAAUGUAUCAUCUUUUCAACGCGGUAAAUUAUGUAUCCACUCGAAAGUUAUGUUUAAUAACUUACGUAUCAUAUAAAUGGGUACCCAAUAUGAUAACCACACAUUUUGGCUGAUGGAUCGUUAAUUAAAUCAAAAAUUACGCGGUGACAAUCGAGCUUCGAUCUGUACUCUCUGAUGGUGUAUUUAAAAUAUAAAUAUGGCUAUGCUUUAAUUAUUUUUUAUCGCAACCACCUGCCAAUUAUAAGUACCAGUAUUGUGUAAUGAAAAUACAAGGAGAUGUAUUAAUCAGUUAUAAUUAGUUUGACUCAUUUAUUUAUGUCAAUUGUACUUAUAAAACAUAACUGUUAAAUUUUAUUAAUGAUACAAAUAAUUCUUUUGCUAAAACUGGCUGGUAGGAUAA